AGUUUAAGCAGAUGGUUCGGUAGCUGAGUGCGGACGGCUGCAUUUGACCCACCAUGAGGAGAACACCUAACACCAAAGGCCCACCGAAAGGGGAACAAAGCCUCCUGCGCGGCAGGGAAAGUGGCACGCAACGUGUUUUUAAGGUGUUGCAUUUCUUCCCUUUGAUGAGAUCCACAGGAGAGUAACCAGCUGGUCAGAAUGACAAUGGCUGACAGGCCUGACUUGCUACAGUCUACACUAAGGAGGAUGGAGCAACUGGAGCGCACCUUCGGCCUCGGCCACAUCCCCGACAGGGCCUCCAUGGGUGGGGGCACAGAGGUGUUAAGAGCACUGCAGUUACCAGCGCCGCUUCUGGAACAAUCUGAGCGGUGGUGCUCCCCCGCAUGCUCGCCCCUGCCUUGUGUCACUCUGCAGCUGUUUUGCUCCGGGGGAUGGGG